rnacentral:tRNA from 1 species
CGCGGGGUGGAGCAGCCUGGUAGCUCCUCGGGCUCAUAACCCGAAGGUCGUCGGUUCAAAUCCGGCCCCCGCAACCA